UUACCUCCAGAGCACUCAUAUUUUCAUUUGCACGACUUCACCACUUCUCUUAGCGUUCACUCAUCAUCUCGUCACCAUGACCAUGAGACUAUCAUCAUCUUCGAGCCAAUGACUCCUCCUAUUCCCUUGCUAGUUUUUUCAAGAAGGCUAAGGUGACAAUUUCAAGUGCAAUCAGCAGAGAUUGAUUCUAGAAUGCCGAAAUAUUGGUUAAUUGACAAUGAUUCACCUAUGUUGAAGCUACCGGGUAUGAAACAUUGUGUUUUGAUGAUUUUUCAAGGUACUUUUGCAAAUAUACGACUGUUUAGUAGUUUACUAUUCCCAAAUCCUUGCAUUGUUGUGCAACUUUACAUUUAAAGGUGAUUCUGUUUUAGCAUCCAUGUAUCUUGAAAAUGAAUGCUUUAUGUUGUUUAUCAUACUAAAAAAGUAGUAUGAUACUUACACACCAUAAUCUUUUCAUUUUGUAUAUGAAUUUAGCCUUUAGCAUAUAUCAUUUUGAGAUCACUGCUAGCAUGCUUAUAUUUGGUGUUAUAUCAUGUAUGACAUCUUCAGGGGAAGUUUGUCAACAUUAGUUUUGCCUAUAUAUACAACUAUUAUGAAUAUAAAGUAUUGUUUUGAGAUGUAUGUGUUCAAUAUUCACAUUUUAUUUAUAUCCACAUGAUUAUUUUAUUAUUAUUAUUAUUUUUUAAUAUUGUGGACUCACAUGCUUAACGGAAUCAAAGUCAUAGUUAACACAAUAUAGGCCAUUCCCCAACAUCAGCAACAAGUUAGUGUCAUUAUUCCACCAUGUAUGACAUCUUUUGUUAUUGUUGCUUGUUUGUUCCUUACCUAAAACCUUGCACAACAGGCUACUGUUACCAAUUAUACCCUCCAUGUAAAUUUGAUCUUUGAGCAUGACUAUUCAUAUGGUUUUUUCCCACUUCUUUGUAUAUAUGUAUAAACUUAGUAUCUUACUAAAUGUGUUUGGUUUAAUGUUACUCUAAUAGCCUUUCCUGAAAAUUCCUAUUACUUUUUAGAAGGUUGGAGGUAACCAUGCUCAGAGUGUUGGGUUUUCUACUGAUGGAUUUACCACCACAGCCACUAUGAGGAAAUCGCAUCUCAUAUGGGUUUUCUGCAAAUGCAUAUUGAAGUAUACAUAUACCCUGCUUGGUAAAUCUGUCACCAAACUCUUUUAUCAUAACUUUCACCUUAUUACUAUUAUUGUUUUUCUUUUUUAGUUUUAUUUAUGUUGUAUGGCAUGAUAUUUAACAGGAGUAAUGUGAUUGGCAUGAUAUGAACAAACAUGCUAGCAAUGUUACCUACAUUGAUUAGAUGGGCUCUUGAGGUUAGUAAUUUUGUAUCAACUUGAAACAACAUUUGCAAUUUGUUCAUAUUUUGGUGAAUCUUGAUGCGUUCUUUUUCUUUUUCUUUUUCUUUCAAAAGAGCAUUCCACCGGAAAUCAUUGACACCCAUGAACUGGAAUGACAUAGUUGAUUCACUUUAUAUUUUUAUUUCCUCAUUAAUCUAAUGGAUGCGUCAUUAACAAUGUAAUUUUGUUGGUUUGUUUAAUGUUGAUGGAGUGCGGUUAAUAUUGUGGAAAAGAGGAUUGGAAUAUAGUACGGUUAAUAAUGUGUAUUAUAUGUGGAAUAAAGUGUGUAUUAUAUGUGGAAGUAUUGUAGAGAUAGAGUAUGGUGUUUAACCGUACUCUAUUAUGGCCCUAAUCUAAUACACCCCCCAUAUAAUACGGGAUGCUAUCCCGUACUCUAUUUUGGUAAACAACUGUAUUCUAUUUAUGUUUUUCUAGUAUGGAUCUAAAUAAGAAGCGAAUCAAAACCUUGAAGGGGAAACCGAGGUUUUCAGAUUUCAAUUUAGUACCGAAUGAUUGGGGAGUUGAUGUUCAUCCAUGGUUGAGUGUUCUCGCCAAAGCGUAUCCAUUCCUGGAGGAGCUGCGACUAAAGAGAAUGACAGUUUGGUAAUCAUUGCAGAUAUUUGAGUUGAGUUCAACAGAAGGGCUAGAAGUUGGUCUUUAUCUAUUCAGAAGAGUACCUCAUUCCAGAAUUCUUGUAUGUGGAGGAGAUGGGACAGCAGGGUGGGUAUUGGAUGCAAUUGAGAAGCAAAGUUACGUUUCACCCCCUCCUAUAGCCUUUCUACCUGUUGGAACUGGGAAUGACGUGGCUAGGGUUUUGAAUUGGGGUGGUAGUUUGGGGUCUGUAGAGAAACAAGGAGGACUUUGCAUGAUGCUGCAACACAUGGAGCAUGCUUCAGUUACUGUUCUUGAUAGGUGGAAGAUUUAUAUUGCUAAUCAUAGGGGUCGACCUCUUCGUGCCCCAAAAUUCAUGAAUAAUUAUCUUGGUACGCAUAAUUGCUUUCAUUUGUACGCUUAAUUGCUUUCAUUUAUUGUCUUGUUGCAUUUAUUCAUCAAGUUAUUGUGAAAAUUGUUCCUGUAAAACGUGGUCACAAGCUGAGAAUUACAUGGCCAAUGACACCUAGCAUUGAUCAUUACAUGGAAGGGCCAAGUAGGUAUCUUGGACACUUAAUUGGUCAUGAAGGAGAAGGAUCCCUCUUCUAUGUCUUGAAGAAAUUGGGUUGGGCAACAAGCUUGUCUGCUGGUGAAUCAGACUGGAUUGUGGAGUUCUCUUUCUUUAAAGUGGUUAUUGAAUUAACUGAUGUUGGACAUGCAAAUUGAUUAUCAGGACAAGAUUCUUCUAAUUGAUUAUGUUGUGAAAUUUUCAUCAAAUAUUUAUACCCUUCAAAAGAUUGGCUAGUUGGAUCAUCUUUACCUUCCACUUUUUUCCCCUGAAGUUAUUCAGUCUGCAAUAAGUGAGAUCACACCAAACAAUGUAAGAAACAUUUGGGAGUCAACAAACUUUGAUGGACAUACUGAGCUAACAGAGCCAUGGUAUGGAACUGCAUUUUCUAUUGAAAAAAUCACUGGCUCCACCAUUUAGGUAUAAAGUUGUGAAAGCAAGAAGUGGGGUAGGCCAUACUGUUGUUCUAAUUGAAGAUGGCCUUUCUUUCUCUUUUGGUUGGAACAAGCAUGGGCAACUUGGAACAGAGUCAACCAAAAAUGAGUGUGAAUUAUCUCCAGUACGUUGUCUUAUAACGGAUGAAAAAGAUGUUUCAUGUGGGGCUACAAAAGGUGUUAGUGUUAGUGAUGAAAGCUUGGUUCAGAUUCAAAAAGUGUUGUAGAGCUAACAAAUGGUUCUUCAGAGGAUACUAAAGAGCAAAUCUUGCAAAGGAUAUUUUUUGUUUUGUUUUGCAGAGGAUACCCCUCACAUUUUCCCAAAUUACCCCUUCCUCUACAAUGUUUUUUUGUUUCUGUGUAUUUUGUGCAUCAGGUAAAGUUGGUGGAAGAAAGGAAUAUGAAGCCACUUGAUUCAAAUCUUGCAGCAUUAUCAGCAAGAUGCAGUAAAGACUUGGAGUUGAAUUUGGCUAAGUCAUUCUUGAGUGAGAUGGGCCAAUGUACAACUUUUUAUCCAUAUAACAACUGUUUGGAGCAUUAGUCUUAAAGAAUUAUGAAAGGCAAGAUGCAACUUUACUUAGUUGGAAUUUGAUGUAGAGAGUAGAUUAGAUGCAAAUUUAGAUAUUGUAAAAAAUAGAAUUGUAUGACAUUAAAUUUUAUGCAAUGGAUUGUA